rnacentral:rRNA from 1 species
GAGAGAUUCAUCGUCAUUCCGCGGCGUACGGGCUGCGCGCUUCGAUGUCGUCGGCCUAGGUCGUCAGGCACGACGCGCGUCCGUCGACGUCCGCGGACGGCGUGCACUUCUCUCUUAGUAAAUACAUCGCGACCCGUUCGAUGUCGGUCUAAGCGCCGUUCGGGAGCCCCAUGGUCCCUUAACGGGGUCUGUGGGACCGCGACGGUGGCCGACCGGCCGUCGGACGGUAGUUCUGACGAAACGCGCACGCGUUUUUAACGCGUCCGGCCCGACGCAAGUCAACGUCGUAUCCAACGUACCGCCUUAGCGCGGACGUAGGUGCGGCGCGUCUGUUGUUGCAGCCGUGCAGUCUCGGAC